rnacentral:rRNA from 1 species
CAAAAACAUGUCCUUUUGUAAAUAAUUUAAGGUCUAGCCUGCCCACUGAUAUUUUAAAUGGCCGUGGUAUUUUGACCGUGCUAAGGUAGCAUAAUCAUUAGUUUUUUAAUUAAAAACUGGAAUGAAAGGUUGGAUGAGAAAAUAGCUGUCUCUAUUAAAUUUAAUUAGAAUUUUAUUUUUAAGUUAAAAAGCUUAAUUGUUAUUAAAAGACGAGAAGACCCUAUAGAGUUUAAUUAUUUAAUAAAAAUUAUAUUUUAGUAUUAAUUUAUUUAUUUUAUUGAAUAAUUUAAUUGGGGUGAUUGAAAAAUUUAAUUAACUUUUUUUAUUUAAGAACAUUAAUUUAUGAAUAAAUGAUCCGAUAUUUUUGAUUAUAAGAUAAAAUUACCUUAGGGAUAACAGCGUAAUUUUUUUAGAAAGUUCAUAUUAAAAAAAAAGAUUGCGACCUCGAUGUUGGAUUAAAAUAAAUUUUUGGUGUAGAAGCUAAAAUAUUAGGUCUGUUCGACCUUUAAAAUUUUACAUGAUCUGAG